GAACGCUUCUCCGGAUUUCGGUCUGGGGAGGAGUGGCGCACGGGUGAGUAGCGCGUGGGAACCUGCCCUGUUGUGGGGGAUAACCGAGGGAAACUUCGGCUAAUACCGCAUGCGCCCCUGGGGUUGACCUGGGGGGAAAGAUUUAUCGCGGCAGGAGGGGCCCGCGUCGGAUUAGCUGGUUGGUGGGGUAACGGCCUACCAAGGCGAUGAUCCGUAGCUGGUCUGAGAGGAUGAUCAGCCACACUGGGACUGAGACACGGCCCAGACUCCUACGGGAGGCAGCAGUGGGGAAUAUUGGACAAUGGGCGCAAGCCUGAUCCAGCAAUGCCGCGUGAGUGAUGAAGGCCUUAGGGUUGUAAAGCUCUUUCGCCCGCGACGAUGAUGACGGUAGCGGGAGAAGAAGCCCCGGCUAACUUCGUG
rnacentral:rRNA from 1 species